UCACCUUUCCUCGAUCAUAUAACCUACCCACGUCAUCUCUUAUCACCAGAUCAAUCUGUUUAUAUAGUGGAGCUGCCCUAGUUAUCACUCAACAAGAAUGACCAUCCAAGGACAACAACAAGUAUCACAGGAUCAAAAAGGAUUCUAGAGACAAGAGGGAGGAUCCAACUUGAUACCCACAGGUGCCUCGACUACUCAAAGGAACACUUAUUUUAGCCACGAUUAAUCAUUAUCGCCCUAGCACGAACGCCACUGAUCAAUCUAGCAAAUCCAGGAGCAUAGCUAUAGGACCAGGGCAUCCACAUGUAAACUAGAGCAUCAAAUGAGCUCCUAUGAUAGCAACUAAACAUGAAAAGCAGCCUGCAAACCCUAAGAUAGCAUGGAUCCACAACUACAGAGCUCAGGUAGGAACCGAUGCAUGAGUAGGGCAUAGAGCAUCAACCAGACGAGCACCACAUCAAUAUUGCCAUGACCAUGUCCCAUACAGUAGCCGAAGCAGAGGAGCAGAAGGAAGAUGGAGCUCACCGAGGGAGGUUAUAGCCAAGGCAAUACUCAGUGCGCGCCGGGGUUGCGCCUGAACGCCGUCCAACCGACGAGGAACCGCGUCGGAGUUGCGCCUUGCACUGUCCCGCCGACGAGCACAAACGCAUCAAACAACCAAGUGACUCUGUGCACGGAAUACAUGUCAAACAAUAUAAACAAUCAGAUAUGCCAUCACAACAGGCGAAUAAACAUCUAGUAAAACAAAACAAUGUAAGAUCCACACUCACCUAAGAUGAACCGGGGCAUGCCUAUAUGUGCUCCAUUCAAAUGCUUAACGCU
rnacentral:lncRNA from 1 species